UGGGGAAUAUUGGACAAUGGGGGAAACCCUGAUCCAGCCAUGCCGCGUGUGUGAAGAAGGCCUUCGGGUUGUAAACCUCUUUCAGCAGGGACGAAGCGCAAGUGACGGUACCUGCAGAAGAAGCACCGGCUAACUACGUGCCAGCAGCCGCGGUAAUACGUAGGGUGCGCGCGUUGUCCGGAAUUAUUGGGCGUAAAGAGCUCGUAGGCGGUUUGUCGCGUCGGCCGUGAAAACUUGGGGCUUAACCCCAAGCCUGCGGUCGAUACGGGCAGACUUGAGUUCGGCAGGGGAGACUGGAAUUCCUGGUGUAGCGGUGAAAUGCGCAGAUAUCAGGAGGAACACCGGUGGCGAAGGCGGGUCUCUGGGCCGAUACUGACGCUGAGGAGCGAAAGCGUGGGGAGCGAA
rnacentral:rRNA from 1 species